CUCCACCACUAAAAAGCCUAGCUCUCCCCUCCCCAUCACCGUUUCUCACGAUUUAGCAGUAGUCGACCAAAAAUACGGCCAAAAUUAGCUACCGGUGUCAACAUCUACGCAUAAACACCGCCUAAUUUCUCAUAGGCAGAUCGAGAAUGAGUAAGAGGGGACGACCGCUUUCUCAAGUAUCGGAGGACGCAGAGAAGCGAGUAAGAGCUGAACUCGACGGUGCAGUGGACGAUUUAAUUCCGGUUGCGUUGGCUCAGAAGUUGAGGGAAAGGUUGGCGGCUGCUGCCCCUAGUACGUCAACAGGUGAUGUUGAACAGAAACAAAGUAAGGGAAGAAAGCCUGAUCGUCUUUAUUGUAGGCGAACACCGUCUGAAUUUCUGAGCUGCUUGAAGCAGUUAAAUACAAGCAAUUAUGGACUGUAGGGAUAGACGAUUCGACUAUAGGGUGAUGGAUGUUAUUGGCUUCCUUGAUUGCUUGGUUGAUUUUUUUGUGUUGGAACAAACAGC